GACAGGUCAGCCGCAAGGCAUGUAUGAAGGUGGUGCAUGGCUGUCGUCAGCUCGUGUCGUGAGAUGUUGGGUUAAGUCCCGCAACGAGCGCAACCCUUGUUCACUGUUGCCAGCACGUUAUGGUGGGGACUCAGUGGAGACCGCCGGGGUCAACUCGGAGGAAGGUGGGGAUGACGUCAAGUCAUCAUGCCCCUUAUGUCCAGGGCUUCACGCAUGCUACAAUCGGCUGGUACAGAGAGUGGGUCGACGCGGCCG
rnacentral:rRNA from 1 species